CUCAGAAUCAACGCUGGCGGCGUCCUAACACAUGCAAGUCGAACGCGAAAGGGGAGCAAUCCCUGAGUAGAGUGGCAAACGGGUGAGUAACACGUGGGUGACCUGCCUUCGAGUGGGGGAUAACGUCCCGAAAGGGACGCUAAUACCGCAUGACAUCCUGCUCUUGGACGAGCGGAGAUCAAAGCUGGGGAUUCGUAAGAACCUGGCGCUUGAAGAGGGGCCCGCGCCUGAUUAGCUAGUUGGUGAGGUAACGGCUCACCAAGGCUUCGAUCAGUAUCCGGCCUGAGAGGGCGGACGGACACACUGGGACUGAGACACGGCCCAGACUCCUACGGGAGGCAGCAGUGGGGAAUUGUUCGCAAUGGGCGCAAGCCUGACGACGCAACGCCGCGUGGAGGAUGAAGAUUUUCGGAUCGUAAACUCCUGUCGAGUGGAAAGAAUAGCUUCCGGGCGAAUAUCCCGGGAGCCUGACGGUACCACUAAAGGAAGCCCCGGCUAACUCCGUGCCAGCAGCCGCGGUAUACGGGGGGGGCAAGCGUUGUUCGGAAUUACUGGGCGUAAAGGGCUCGUAGGCGGCCAACUAAGUCAGACGUGAAAUCCCCAGGCUUAACCUGGGAACUGCGUCUGAUACUGGAUGGCUUGAAUUCGGGAAGGGAUGCAAAUCCAGGUGUACGCGGUGAAUGCGUAAGAUAUCUGGAGGAUACGGUGGCAAGGCGGCUCUGACGACAUGACGCUGAGGAGCGAAA
rnacentral:rRNA from 1 species